UGCUAAGAAUUCAACAGCCAUUGGUAUGAUU
rnacentral:piRNA from 1 species